AUGCAAGUCGAGGGGCAGCAUGUCCAGCAAUGGAUGAUGGCGACCGGCGGAAGGGUGCGUAACGCGUGAGCAACAUGCCCUAUACAGGGAGAUACACCAGGGAAACUUGGUCUAAUAUCCCAUAGCAUUCAUUGAAGGCAUCUUUAAUGAAUUAAAGCUUCGGUGGUAUAGGAUUGGCUCGCGUGACAUUAGCCAGAUGGUGAGGUAACGGCUCACCAUAGCAAUGAUGUCUAGGGGUUUUGAGAGGAAGGCCCCCCACACUGGGACUGAGACACGGCCCAGACUCCUACGGGAGGCAGCAGUGAGGAAUAUUGGACAAUGGAUGGAAAUCUGAUCCAGCCAUGCCGCGUGCGGGAAGACGGCCUUAUGGGUUGUAAACUGCUUUUAUACGGGAGCAAUAAGGGUUACGAGUAAUCCGAUGAGAGUACUGUAUGAAUAAGGAUCGGCUAACUCCGUGCCAGCAGCCGCGGUAGUACGGAGGAUCCGAGCGUUAUCCGGAAUUAUUGGGUUUAAAGGGUGCGUAGGCGGCCAUUUAAGUCAGCGGUGAAAUUUUGCAGCUUAACUGUAACAGUGCCGUUGAUACUGUUUGGCUAGGAUUUGGUUGUAGUGUGCGGAAUGUGUGGUGUAGCGGUGAAAUGCUUAGAUAUCACACAGAACACCGAUUGCGAAGGCAGCACACUAAGUCAUUAUUGACGCUGAGGCACGAAAGUGUGGGGAUCAAACAGGAUUAGAUACCCUGGUAGUCCUCACUGUAAACGAUGAUAACUCGCUGUCGGCGAUACACAGUCGGUGGCCAAGCGAAAGCAUUAAGUUAUCCACCUGGGGAGUACGACCGCAAGGCUGAAACUCAAAGGAAUUGACGGGGGCCCGCACAAGCGGUGGAGCAUGUGGUUUAAUUCGAUGCAACGCGAAGAACCUUACCAGGUCUUGACAUCCAAAGAAUCCUGAUGAAAGUCGGGAGUGCCUUAGGGAGCUUUGAGACAGGUGGUGCAUGGUUGUCGUCAGCUCGUGUCGUGAGAUGUUGGGUUAAGUCCCGCAACGAGCGCAACCCUUGCUAUUAGUUGCUAACAUUCAGUUGAGCACUCUAAUGGGACUGCCCGUGACAAGCGGGAGGAAGGUGGGGAUGACGUCAAAUCAUCAUGCCCUUUAUGAUCUGGGCUACACACGUGCUACAAUGGAUGGUACAGAGAGCAGCGAGACAGUGAUGUGGAGCGAAUCUCAAAAAGCCAUUCUCAGUUCGGAUUGCAGGCUGCAACUCGCCUGCAUGAAGUCGGAAUCGCUAGUAAUCGCGGAUCAGCAUGUCGCGGUGAAUGCGUUCCCGGGCCUUGCACUCAGCGCCCGUCAAG
rnacentral:rRNA from 1 species